AUGUUUGAUGUUCUAACGUGGACCCGUAAUCCGGGUUGCGGACAGUGUCUGGUGGGUAGUUUGACUGGGGCGGUCUCCUCCUAAAGAGUAACGGAGGAGCACGAAGGUUGGCUAAUCCUGGUCGGACAUCAGGAGGUUAGUGCAAUGGCAUAAGCCAGCUUGACUGCGAGCGUGACGGCGCGAGCAGGUGCGAAAGCAGGUCAUAGUGAUCCGGUGGUUCUGAAUGGAAGGGCCAUCGCUCAACGGAUAAAAGGUACUCCGGGGAUAACAGGCUGAUACCGCCCAAGAGUUCAUAUCGACGGCGGUGUUUGGCACCUCGAUGUCGGCUCAUCACAUCCUGGGGCUGAAGUAGGUCCCAAGGGUAUGGCUGUUCGCCAUUUAAAGUGGUACGCGAGCUGGGUUUAGAACGUCGUGAGACAGUUCGGUCCCUAUCUGCCGUGGGCGCUGGAGAACUGAGGGGGGCUGCUCCUAGUACGAGAGGACCGGAGUGGACGCAUCACUGGUGUUCGGGUUGUCAUGCCAAUGGCACUGCCCGGUAGCUAAAUGCGGAAGAGAUAAGUGCUGAAAGCAUCUAAGCACGAAACUUGCCCCGAGAUGAGUUCUCCCUGAGACUUAGAGUCUCCUGAAGGAACGUUGAAGACGAC
rnacentral:rRNA from 1 species